rnacentral:rRNA from 1 species
GUUGGCCGGUUGGGAAGUUUUUCCUGGUUUUUUGGGGGGUGGGGCCUGGCCGUUUUUAGUUGGGGGGGUGAUUUGUUUGGUUAAAUUCGUUAACGGACGGGGCCUUGGCCUUAUAAAUUGGGGGGGGUAAGGCAACCUUGUUCGUUUUUAACUUCUUAGAGGGACAUGUCCGGUUUACGGGCAGGAAGUUCGAGGCAAUAACAGGUCUGUGAUGCCCUUAGAUGUUUUGGGCCGCACGCGCGCUACACUGAUGGGUUCAUCGGGUUUUAAUUCUAAUUUUUGGAAUUGAGUGCUUGGUCGGAAGGCCUGGCUAAUCCUUGGAACGCUCAUCGUGCUGGGGCUAGAUUUUUGCAAUUAUUAAUCUCCAACGAGGAAUUCCUAGUAAACGCAAGUCAUCAGCUUGCAUUGAAUACGUCCCUGCCCUUUGUACACACCGCCCGUCGCACCUACCGAUUGAACGGUCCGAUGAAACCAUGGGAUGUUUCUGUUUGGAUUGAUUUUUGGACAGAGGCAGAACUCGGUAAUCUUUU